ensembl:snRNA U6 U6 spliceosomal RNA
AUGCUUGUUUCAGUAGCACAUAGACUAAAAUUGGAACAAUACAGAGAAGAUUUGCAUGGCUGUGUGCAAGAAUGAUAAGCAAAUUUGUGAAGCAUGCCAUAUUUGG